rnacentral:rRNA from 1 species
UACGUAGGGGGCAAGCGUUGUCCGGAAUCAUUGGGCGUAAAGCGCGCGUAGGCGGCCCUGUAAGUCCGUUGUGAAAGUCAAAGGCUCAACCUUUGAAAGCCGAUGGAUACUGCAGGGCUAGAGUCCGGAAGAGGCGAGUGGAAUUCCUGGUGUAGCGGUGGAAUGCGCAGAUAUCGAGAGGAACACCUGCGGCGAAGGCGGGUUGCUGGGCCGACACUGACGCUGAUGCGCGAAAGCGUGGGGAGCGAACAGG